AAGUCGUAACAAGGUUUCCGUAGGUGAACCUGCGGAAGGAUCAUUAUUGUAAAACAGAGGGGGUGUCUUCCUCCCUGCUCCGGCUUUGCGGCCGUGAGCGGGCGGUCGCGCUCCUUUCCACAACCAAACCCCUGUGCACAUCUCUGGGGACUUCUGGUGGGUUUGCGCCUGCCGAGUCCCUGGCUUUACACAAACUCUUCUAUGUAUUUAGAAUGUUCAAGGACCUCGCGUCCUGUUAACAAAUAACAACUUUCAACAACGGAUCUCUUGGCUCUC
rnacentral:misc_RNA from 1 species